rnacentral:rRNA from 1 species
GAUGAACGCUGGCGGCGUGCCUAAUACAUGCAAGUCGAACGAGGUCUUCGGACCUAGUGGCGAACGGGUGAGUAACACGUUGGUACCUACCCCGAAGUGGGGAAUAACUGCCCGAAAGGGUGGCUAAUACCGCAUAAUACCGUAAGGUUAAAGCAGUAAUGCGCUUCGGGAGGGGCCUGCGUCUGAUUAGCUUGUUGGUAGGGUAAUGGCCUACCAAGGCUACGAUCAGUAGCUGGAUCGAGAGGUUGACCAGCCACACUGGGACUGAGAUACGGCCCAGACUCCUACGGGAGGCAGCAGUAAGGAAUCUUCCACAAUGGACGAAAGUCUGAUGGAGCAACGCCGCGUGCAGGAUGACGGCCUUCGGUUGUUAACGU